UUCCGAAUGUAAGCUUCCAUUACGUCUGGUUUGUUCAGCCGCUCUCUCUAUGUGAUCUAGCAUAUAUCUCUGGAGUGCGUCACUAAAAACGUGUGGAGAAAGGGUCAAGGAUUUUCUGGCUUCAGCAAGUCCGGGCCGAGCACUGUCUCAAAGUGAUGGUUGUCAACAGCUGUUUUAUUAUGUUGGAAAAUCAUUGUCUAAUAAAUCUCAAGGUAUAAUAUUCUCCAAGUCAUACUCGAAACAUAUUUCCUUAUGUAUUUGCUCUUUUUAUUUCAUACUUUAACAUGCGGCAACGGGAGGGCCUGGUGGCGUUGCUGGGUUUAGAAUCGCAGAUCUCUGGCGGUUUUCUUAACAAGUAUUAGUCAUCGAUUUCUUCUGCUUUCUGUGAUAAUGAUUUUUGGUUCUGUAAUAAGAUAUUUUCCUUUCAUUUGGCUGCCUUAGACUCAAUGUAACUUAUGAUUCUAAUGAUUUAAAUUCCAAUCAGCUUCAUGUUAUUUAACGAUGACCAUGACAAAACAAACAGCCGCCAACUACACUCACCUUCACUGGCGGCCUAUAGAGCACUACAUCAACAAGAUUCCAACUUCUACAAAACUCUUCUCGCCUUCAGCUACAAACUAUUGCUCUGUUCCUUAUCUGUUAUAAAUUUUGCAUUACGAUUUAUCAAGGAAAAGAAAGCAUGCGACUGGUCGUGGAUCAAAAAAUAUUUUUAAUAGAGAUUUUUUUUUAUUAUUAUAAUAAUAUAUAUGUAAAUAAAUCAUAUUUAUUAUCAAUAAUUAUUUAUAAUGCGUUACAUAAAUUAAUAAAGUGAAUACUUUGAAAGCACAGAAUAAUUUUAUUUAUGUGAUUAAUAUAUAUCUGUAGUAUUUUGUCACAAAUAUGUAUUGUUUGUUAAAACGAACUAAAAUAAGCUAAAUAAAUUAUAAAUGAGUUUUCAAAAAACAUAAAUACAAUUGGAUAACUAAUUAAAGAGAAUUCCACUAUAACUAUAUUAGCAAAACUAAAAGGUAUAUUAAAAUAAUGAGCCAAGUUUUUCAAUUAGUAUAUCGAAAAAAAAACAGUAUGUAAGCUGAGCGAGCAAAUAUAAGAAAACAUCUUUUUCAAAAAAAAAAAAAAAUCAAUAGUAGGUUUUAAUUAGUUAAGAAAAAAAA